rnacentral:rRNA from 1 species
CAUCGUUGCCCCAAUGCCUUGGCCACGUGCUAGGCACCGAGUGGGGUGAAUGUUGGCUUCCCGCGAGCACUGUCUCACGGUUGGUUGAAAACUGAGUCCGUGGUGGAGGGCACCGUGAUGGAUGGUGGCUGAGUUAAAGCUCGAGACCGAUCGUGUGUGUCACCCCCACCAGAUUUGCGACUCUGUGACCCAUGGGGUCUGUUGGCCGCCUAAGACGGGA